UACAGAGACCUCAAGCGUUAUCCGGAUUUAUUGGGCGUAAAGCGCGGGUAGGCGGAAAUAUUAGUCAGAUGUCAAAUCUUCGAGCUCAACUCGAAAACUGCAUUUGAAACGGUAUUUCUAGAGAGUGUGAGAGACCAGUGGAACUCAUGGUGUAGCAGUGAAAUGCGUUGAUAUCAUGGGGAACACCAAAGGCGAAGGCAUCUGGUUGGCGCACUUCUGACGCUGAGCUGCGAAAGCGUGGGUAG
rnacentral:rRNA from 1 species